UUCUCAUAGAAAAUACCCAUAAACAAUAUGACAGCUUUGGAAUGGUUUUAGAUUUCAAAAUCUUAUUUAUUUCUAUGCAACGAUAUUUUGAUGAAACUUCACCUUUCUAGUUGAUGAGUCCUUAAAUCGACAUUAAACAUCUCCCUCUCCAAUUUUUUUGGAGCAUAAGCGUGUGAUAAUCAAUUAAUAAUCUUGUGUUGCUCAACUGUUCCAUGCUUGUUAUUAACCAAGAGAGUCGUACCAAGUUCCCUUGUUGUAUGAAGUUUCUUUUCAGUUUCGCUUGUUUAAUCUAAACAUGGUUGGUUUUAGGCAUAUCUGGAUGAAGCAUCCGGUUUGACCUUAACUUUAAAGAACUAUUAUACAUAGAUUCAUAGCCCCAAAUUUUCGACAUGAUUAUUUUAAAAAUGUUCAAUAACUUGAUAACAUUCCAAAUCUAUCGAUUUUCUAAAACAAAUUCAAAUAGUAGUACGUAGAAUGGCUCACAAGAUAUAAAGAGAAUAACACAUCUAACAUGAUAGAUAGAAGAAGAAUGAAUAACCAAUAAAUUGAAUUGCUUCCUUUGUAUUGAGACUUCAAAGUGAUUAUGAUACCAAACAAAACAAAAGACAACAAACAAACAAGAAAACCCACUCAAAAUGGAGAGCUUGCAUCUUCUUUCAGCUGUAGUGUGGAUCUUGUCUAGAAACAUUACUCUUGCAGAACUAUCAUUCGAAAACAGACCCAAAACUGCAAUAGUAACAGUACUGUUUCCAAACUUCUCAAUCCUCUAGAGAUCAUAAAAGUAUGCCCUGCUUCGGCUACUACGAUCACAUCCCCACCAACAAAGAGGUGAUAGUGUCUCAGCUAUCUGAUGAGUCAUCCUCUUGAAGCUUGAACUUGUAAAAGUGUACAAUAGACUUCAUGAGUGACUUGGGGUUGGAUCCUUCGGCGCAACUAUAUCCAAUAUGAACAACACUUUGUAAUUUACCCACUAAUACAUAUCUUGUACACAUAAUUUUCCCUUGGUCAAAAUUAUUAAUCUUGGAAUCCAAGUAAUUAAAACUUCAUCUUUAUUGUUAAUAGAUUGCUUCAUCGAAUGGGAUAUACUUUCACGCUCUGGAUACCUAGACAUGAUUGGGAUAAAGCUUUAUAAUUUAUAUUUCAUUAUUUUAUCAUAUUUACAUUCCAAUGCCAUUUACCAGAACGAAUCAGUUCUAGUGGUAAAGGGGUUGCGGCUGUAAUUUCUGCGAUCCGGAUUCGAUUUGCGCUGGGAGAAACUAUUUACAAUAUUUGGGUUUCCGGCAAAGAGGUGGAAACACCUUUUUCAUUAUUGUUAUGAGCUUUUCAUUUUUCAUUUAUAUCUUAUAAAACUUGAAUUUUUAGGUUGGGAUUUACAUUCUUAUAGAAAUUUUUUUUAACUCAAAGCUGAUAACUCUAUUGGUAAAGUCAUCUGCCCUAAGGGAACAGGUUCCAGGCUUGAGGCUGAGCAGCUGCAGGUGGAUUUAAUAACAGGAGCUUGUUAUUGGUCUAAAAAGAUUAUGAGAUUUGCCUGAAAACUUCUUGAAUUAAAGAAAAAAGGAAAAAUAAUUACUAUUAAGAAAUUAAAUUCAGGAUUAUUUAUUUUGGUUUUUAUAUUUAAUUAAAGUGAUCAGAUAUUACCAAAUAUAUACGAUUUCCUAUUGCUAUGGGACUUAGGUUUUAAUUUUUUGUUAUUUAAUUACCGAAUUUGUUUCUUUCUCUGUCAUAUAACUACUCUCAUCGUUUUGCUUCACCCAUCUAAUCUUUCAACGAGUUUCACAAUGAAUGCGAAAGAAAUUCGUACAAUCAUCGGAAUCGUUGGUACGUUCUGCUUCUCUAUUUAUACAAUGAAUAUGAUUCUCUUAUCUUAUGUGUAAUUUCGUAUAUUUAAUAUUUACUUAUACCGGAAGGAGACAGUACUGUAGUUGUAGGCUUGUAGCAGUAGUUGAAUGAAGCUAUAUAUUAUUUAUGUUUUGGAGGAACUUUAAUCGAUGUUAAUCCAAUGACGGAUGUAGUAAGCAAAUUUACUUAGCUUAGUUUAGCUGUUUACUGAUACUAUUUAUCUGGCUUGAUCCAGGACCAUUGUUUCUUUCACGGAUUCAUAAAAGGAUUAUUAUAAUUAUAUUCACAAACAUCUGCAUAUACAGGCCAAAGUUUAUACAAAUUUACAAGAAUGAAUCAGUGGAUGUGGAUUUUCAACAACAUCGUCAUGUAGCGAUGGUGAUGAAAUGUAGCUUGUGGAUUUUGUAUGGUCUCCCACUUGUUCAAAAGGAUAGCAUUCUCGUCACCACCAGUAAUGGCGUUGGGCUUGUAAUCGAAGUGAUCUACUUGGUUGUAUUUUUUAUCUACUGUUACAAAGAUCUAGAUUUAGAACGUGUAAGUUCCAUCAUUAAUGCUUAAAUCUCUUAAUCAUUAUUGUAUUAUUGAUUUUGAUCCCUAAUGUUUAUGUUGUUGGUUAUCUUCAGAUGCAGGCCACUGGGGCAUGUCUUAUAGUUGAGAUUAGUUCGCUCCUUUUUUUUCUAUGCGAAUACUCUUUUGAUCCUUGAAAACGUAUCGGCAAGACGUAAACUAAUCGGAGUUUUUUGCACCGUUUACACCAUUAUUAUGCAUGUUUUACUAGCCCUGCAAACAAAGGUUGACGGGGAACAAUUUCGCUGUAGGUAUCUGCCAUUUUGGUUCUCAUUUGUUAACUUUAUCAACGCUGGAAUUUGGAUUGCUUAUUCUGUGAUUUACAAGAUUGACGUCUACGUUCUUGUAAGUGCCUUCAUUUUCUUUGGAAAAAUCUUUUUUUAAUUGAUUUUCUUUAAGAGAUUUUGGUGUUUGUAACGUUUUUUCCUUUUUGGGUUUGUGUAUGGGACAGGUAGUCAAUGUUGUUGGAGCAUUGGCGUGUGCUAUUCAUUUAAUAAUCUUGUGUUGCUCAAUUAUUAAUCAGCGCUUGUUACAACCCAAGAGAGUCGUACCAAGUGCUCCUAUAUAUGCACUUUAGUUUUUUUUCUUUCGGUUUUGCUUGUUUAAUCUAAACAUGGUUGGUUUUACCUAUACUUGUCUUGACCCCAAACUUUAAAAAACUAUUAUACAUAGAUCCAUAACCUCAAUUUUCGAUAUUUUUCCUUAUUAAGAUUAGUUUUAAAAUGUUCAAUGACUUGAUAACAUUCCAAAUCAUCUAUUUCCUGGAAACAAAUCCCAAUAGUAGAAUGUAUAAUGGUUCACAAGAUCUCUUUCUAUUUAUUAUAAAGAGAAUGACACAUCUUAACAUGAUUGAUAGAAGAAGAAUCAAUAACCAAGAAAUCAAAUCGCUUCCUUAGUUUCGAAACUUCGAAGUGAUUAUUGAUACCAAACAAACAAAA